UCAAGGUGGAGCUUUAUGAACCUGAUUAUGUCCAAUGAGUUUUUCUUUUAACUCUUAAGGGAAAUGAUGACUGAGAACAGUUGAUUUCACUAGGAUUCAAAAUAAAGAAGAUGAAAAACCUAUCAUUUUUGAAGGAAAAUGAAAAUUAUCAGCACCACUGAAAGAAAUGGACACAUCAACAUUGACCCAGACCAUUGACCAUUGACCCAGAUAUUCACCCAAACGAAAGCACCAUCAGAUAAAUGCAUAAAAAUGCAAAGUGAAAGACAGGCUCUAAUUAGGACACACUUUAUAGAUGGAAAUAUCCCAGGAGAAGAGUGGAUCAACCAAAGGAGCAAAAUGCUUUCCAGGCACGGAAGAGUCAUAUCUAUAAAUUAUUAGGCCGAUAGAUUUCAAACACUCCACAGAGGUUUGGGAGAAUCAUCCAUUAUCAUAAAUUACAUCCAUUUUAUUUAAAGUCAUUACUUCAAAAAGAUGUUAUGUACUUUUAUAAGCUUCUUUUUUUUUCUUUUUAAUUAAAC
rnacentral:lncRNA from 1 species